CUGUGAAACAAGCGGCUAUUCCCCGUCACUCGUCAGUCGACAUCGAACAAUACGUUUUUUAGGUUAUGCUAACGCCCGCCACCCGGUGUUGUAUAAUAAUGUUCCAGAUCCAGACUACAUUUUGGAACACGUUUUUAAACAUGGGGACAAAAAUCUACUUCACAACGACUCUUGCCAAACUACGUGCUGCAAGCUAAGAACCAUUUUUCAAGCAUAAGCCUGUAAAUCUGCCUAGUUAAACCAGUUGGCUAGUGGAGGAGUGAAGAGUUUAGGAUCAGGAUGGCGCUUUCCAGCUCGCAUCCAUGGCUGAGGCUGACGCCAGACCAGCGAUAUUAUAGAACCCACUAUG